UACGUAGGGUGCGAGCGUUAAUCGGAAUUACUGGGCGUAAAGCGUGCGCAGGCGGUUAUGCAAGACAGAUGUGAAAUCCCCGGGCUCAAACUGGGAACUGCAUUUGUGACUGCAUGGCUAGAGUACGGUAGAGGGGGAUGGAAUUCCGCGUGUAGCAGUGAAAUGCGUAGAUAUGCGGAGGAACACCGAUGGCGAAGGCAAUCCCCUGGACCUGUACUGACGCUCAUGCACGAAAGCGUGGGGAGCAAACAGG
rnacentral:rRNA from 1 species